UGGCGGCAGGCCUAACACAUGCAAGUCGAGCGGUAACAUUUCUAGCUUGCUAGAGAUGACGAGCGGCGGACGGGUGAGUAACGCGUAGAAAUCUACCUAGUAGUGGGGGAUAGCCCAGAGAAAUUUGGAUUAAUACCGCAUACGCCCUACGGGGGAAAGCGGGGGAUCUUUGGACCUCGUGCUAUUAGAUGAGUCUGCGUCGGAUUAGCUUGUUGGUGAGGUAAUGGCUCACCAAGGCGACGAUCCGUAGCUGGUCUGAGAGGAUGACCAGCCACACUGGAACUGAGACACGGUCCAGACUCCUACGGGAGGCAGCAGUGGGGAAUAUUGCACAAUGGGCGCAAGCCUGAUGCAGCCAUGCCGCGUGUGUGAAGAAGGCCUUAGGGUUGUAAAGCACUUUCAGCAGUGAGGAAAGGGGUGUCGUUAAUAGCGCCAUCCUGUGACGUUAACUGCAGAAGAAGGACCGGCUAACUCCGUG
rnacentral:rRNA from 1 species